rnacentral:rRNA from 1 species
GAUGAACGCUGGCGGCGUGCCUAAUACAUGCAAGUCGAGCGAACAGACGAGGAGCUUGCUCCUCUGACGUUAGCGGCGGACGGGUGAGUAACACGUGGAUAACCUACCUAUAAGACUGGGAUAACUUCGGGAAACCGGAGCUAAUACCGGAUAAUAUAUUGAACCGCAUGGUUCAAUGGUGAAAGACGGUUUUGCUGUCACUUAUAGAUGGAUCCGCGCCGCAUUAGCUAGUUGGUAAGGUAACGGCUUACCAAGGCAACGAUGCGUAGCCGUCCUGAGAGGGUGAUCGGCCACACUGGAACUGAGACACGGUCCAGACUCCUACGGGAGGCAGCAGUAGGGAAUCUUCCGCAAUGGGCGAAAGCCUGACGGAGCAACGCCGCGUGAGUGAUGAAGGUCUUCGGAUCGUAAAACUCUGUUAUUAGGGAAGAACAAAUGUGUAAGUAACUAUGCACGUCUUGACGGUACCUAAUCAGAAAGCCACGGCUAACUACGUG